ACACUCUUAAGAAAGCAGAGAAGUGCGUCACCGAAAGCUCUUUAACUUGGAGUGUGGAGAGUAAAAUAAAACUGUUUGUUCUUUGAUAAAAAAUAUUUAAAAUAUAAAAAUGAAAAGAAGGAAAGAAGAGAAACCCCAUAGCAGUUUCAAAACUAACAGACAUCCCCCUGGAAUAUUUACAGGUUUAAAGGCACAUGUGUGUGUGUGUUUUUAGAAGAGCAGGACGAAGAACAUGGCUGCUGCCCACUGUCCCCAGAGGACUGGCAGGGUUGUGGCAGCUUGAUAUGUAUAUGUAUGUGGGCACACAGGGGGAUGUCAUGCUAGGGUCAAUGUUAAGGGAGAUACUCAUCACAGAACCUAUGCCAGGCAGAAUCAGAGUUACCUGAUGUAUGGAGCGUGCUUCGCACCCGAUUUCCUAGAUGACAAAGCACAGAGGCACAGAUUAAGACAAUGUCGCCGAUCAAGAUGUGAGCUCUCAGCUUUUCCAGCCACCGUGUCUUUGCUCUGCAAUCAUGAACUCUCUGGAACUGGAAGCCCCAAACCACAUGCUUUCUUUUAAGUUGUCUCAGCCAUGGGGUUUUAUCACGGCAAUAGAACAGAAGCUAAGACAGACCCCGUGGUCUUUUAUGUGCUAGGGAAGUGCUCUCCCAUUGGCCACACAGCCCCAGGCCAGUGACAUCAUUCUUCAUGAGUUUUCUUGAGACAAAUGUUGACUGAAUCAUCAACUAAGGGAACCUUUUCUGUGGUAAGCCAGGUCUUCUGGCACAGUGAUAACUAUUUCAUAAAUACAUAAUAUCUUGUCAUAACUAGAUUGCAAAUGGAGUCCACAGCACAUCUGUGUCAAAUGAGGAAAACCUUGCAAAUAUUAACUCAUAUAAUCAGUUUUCAAGAUUCAUUAUGGUGGUACAACCCAGUCAUCCCAGGACAGGCUCCAUACCAGCCUUUAGAGUAAGACUCUGGUAAAGAAAAAGCUUCACAACAAGUUCAGAUGGCUGUGUGUGGUGGUACAUGCCUGUAAUCUCAGCACCCAGCAAGACUGUUGCAGGUUCAAGGCCAGCCUAGUCUACACGGCAAGCCCUGUCUUGAAGGGGGUUACGGGAAAGAGAGAUGGACAAGGAGAGAAAACCAGUCUUCUUCAUUACCUAUUUCUGCAUAAUUUAUUAUUUAAUUUUGUUAUUGAUAAUAAAGGAUGCCAAAAAAUGG
rnacentral:lncRNA from 1 species